rnacentral:rRNA from 1 species
UUGCCUCAGUAACGGCGAGUGAAGCGGCAACAGCUCAAAUUUGAAAUCUGGCUCCUUCGGGGUCCGAGUUGUAAUUUGCAGAGGAUGCGUCGGGUACGGGUCCCUACCGAGUUCCCUGGAACGGGACGCCAUAGAGGGUGAGAGCCCCGUCUGGUAGGAUACCCAGCCCAUGUGACGCUCCCUCGACGAGUCGAGUAGUUUGGGAAUGCUGCUCUAACGGGAGGUAUACUCCUUCCAAAGCUAAAUACCGGCUGGAGACCGAUAGCGCACAAGUAGAGUGAUCGAAAGAUGAAAAGCACUUUGAAAAGAGAGUCAAACAGCACGUGAAAUUGUUAAAAGGGAAGCACUCGCUACCAGACUUGGGUUUGGCGGUUCAACCGGGGCCACGCCCCGGGGCAUUCCGCCAGCUCAGGCCAGCAUCAGCUUUCCGUCGGGGGCAAAGACGUCGGGAAUGUGGCUCCCCUUCGGGGGAGUGUUAUAGCCCGGCGUGUCAUACCCUUCGGGGGGCUGAGGUACGCGCUUCUGCAAGGAUGCUGGCGUAAUGGUAGCUAGUGACCCGUCUUGAAACACGGACCAAGGAGUCAACCUUAUGUGCGAGUGCCCGGGCGUAAAACCCCAGCGCGGAAUGAAAGUGAACGUAGGUGAGAGCUUCGGCGCAUCACCGACCGAUCCUGAUGUCCUCGGACGGAUUUGAGUGAGAGCAUAUAGGGUUGGACCCGAAAGAAGAUGAACUAUGCGUGUGUAGGGUGAAGCCAGAGGAAACUCUGGUGGAGGCUCGCAGCGGUUCUGACGUGCAAAUCGAUCGUCAAACAUGCGCAUGGGGGCGAAAG